GCUAACGGCCAUACCACCCUGUCUGUGCCAGAUCUCGGAAGCUAAGCAGGGUCGGGCCUGGUUAGUUCUUGGAUGGGAGACAGCCUGGGAAUACCAGGUGCUGUAAGUA
rnacentral:rRNA from 1 species